GUCUGUAGCUGGAGCGGAGGAAGAGCAGGAUCAGCUGAACAACAGAAGAAAUUAAAAUAUUUUCCUGAAAUUCAUCACCAACAACCAGGAUAUUUAACUAAGAGCAAAGUUAAACUGCUGAAAGAGGUGAAGCAGAAGCCUUCCUGAAGAAUCUCCAGAACACGCAGAAAUUGUUUGCUACAUUUAAAAGACAAAUGAAGCCAAGUCCCGACAUGGAGAAACAUCAGCACUCUGUCAAGAGUUUUACUAAACAGAGUAAUCUCAAAAAACACCAGCGUAUUCACACAGGAGAAAAAACAUAUUUCUGCUCAGACUGUGGGAAGAGUUUUACUCAACAGAGUGAUCUCAAAAAACACCAGCGCAUUCACACAGGAGAGAAACCGUAUCACUGCUCAGACUGUGGGAAGAGUUUUAAUCAACAGAGUAAUCUCAAAAGUCACCAGCGCAUUCACACAGGAGAGAAACCGUAUUACUGCUCAGACUGUGGGAAGAGUUUUAAUCAACAGAGUAAUCUCAAAAGUCACCAGCGCAUUCACACAGGAGAGAAACCGUAUUACUGCUUAGACUGUGGGAAGAGUUUUACUGUGCAGAGUAAUCUCAAAAGUCACCAGCGCAUUCACACAGGAGAGAAACCGUAUUACUGCUCAGACUGUGGGAAGACUUUUACUCAACAGAGUACUCUCAAAAUCCAUCAGCGCAUUCACACAGGAGAGAAACCGUAUCACUGCUCAGACUGUGGGAAGAGUUUUACUGAACAGAGUGAUCUCAAACGACACCAGCGCAUUCACACAGGAGAGAAACCGUAUUACUGCUCAGACUGUGGGAAGAGUUUUAAUCAACAGAGUCAUUUUAAAAAUCACCAGCGCAUUCACACAGGAGAGAAACCGUAUUACUGUUUCGACUGUGGGAAAAGUUUUACUAAACAGAGUCAUCUCAAAAUACACCAGCGCAUUCACACAAGAGAGAAACCGUAUCACUGCUCAGAGUGUGGGCAGAGUUUUAAUCAACAGAGUCAUUUAAAAAAACACCAGCGCAUUCACACGGGAGAGAAAACUAUCCCAAAUUUGUCCCACGGCAAUUAAAAGUGCAAAUCGUAAAUCUUUCAGACAGAACACCUUAUCCUACACAAAUGUUUUACUUUGUCGCUUGGGAUACGUUCCACCAGAAACAAACAUGAACUGAAUUUAACAAUGGAUUUUACAGGUUCAGCAAAAUUAAUCUUAUCCAGCGAUCAUGUUUAUUGAAUUCCAUGUUAUGUUUUCUUAUAUGUUCGAUAUUCCAGAACAUUCUUCGUUAGACAGAGCUCAGUUUUUAGGGUAGUUAUGGAAGGAGUUUAGUUCUGAAGAAGGGAUAAACUUAGUCUUUAAAAUUAAGAUGUCAUAGUUAGAGUAGAAUUCUUAGCUGGGAACUAAACAUUUAGGACCAAAUCUUCAGAGCUUAUGAUUUUAAUCCCCUUUCUAGUAUAUGCAGAUUUGAUUAUUUCCAUGAAUUUCUAGUAUCUCUGUUUUCACUCUGUGGAAGCCGUCCUCAGUUCCCCAAGCUUAGCAUAGCUUAGCUUAAUACUAUUAACCACUAGGCCCAUCUGCAUGAAAGAAGAAGUGAAAACACCACCUGAGGAACUCCAGAGAGUGCUCCCAAAAGUGAGACCCAGAGCCACAGAGAGACGAGUGCCGGGUACUGCCGUGUGGACCGGAGGAGUAUCCAGACUCUGCAGAGAGGCCAACAAAUUCCUUUCCAGAGGUUAAAUAAAACGCUCCAUCUGUAGUUCCCAUACUGAAUCAACCUCCUCCAGGCUUGUGUAGCGCAGUGAGGUUGUGGGCUCAUUCAUUCCCUCUGAUGGUGUUCUUGUUUGUCUAUGGUUCAGUCGUUCUGAUUAAAAAUCUGUUAGCAUAGAGGGAUAUUUGGUUGUUGUAUUAUUCACGUUUUAUGCUCUCUUAUCUUUUCCUUAUUGAAUAUUAUAUGUUGCUAAAGGUUUUUAAUCUCCAAAAUGUACUAAGAAUAUCCAAAUCAUGUAGUUUCUUAAUUGUUUUUAUCCACUACAAACUAUUAUCUUUGUAUUGCUUCACCUCUAUAUUUACUCAUCUGUUUGUUUUAAUAAACGGCUUUUAGAUUGCA